AUUGAACGCUGGCGGAAUGCUUUACACAUGCAAGUCGAACGGCAGCACGGGAGCUUGCGUCCUGGUGGCGAGUGGCGAACGGGUGAGUAAUAUAUCGGAACGUAUCCAAUAAUGGGGGAUAACUAAGCGAAAGCUUGGCUAAUACCGCAUACGGCCCUGAGGGGGAAAGCUAGGGAUCUUCGGACCUGGCGUUGAUGGAG
rnacentral:rRNA from 1 species